rnacentral:rRNA from 1 species
GACGAACGCUGGCGGCGUGCUUAACACAUGCAAGUCGAGCGGUAAGGCCCUUUCGGGGGUACACGAGCGGCGAACGGGUGAGUAACACGUGGGUGACCUGCCCUCAGCUCUGGGAUAAGCCUGGGAAACCGGGUCUAAUACUGGAUAUGACUCCAUGACGCAUGUUGUGGGGUGGAAAGCCUUGUGCGGCUGAGGAUGGGCCCGCGGCCUAUCAGCUUGUUGGUGGGGUGAUGGCCUACCAAGGCGACGACGGGUAGCCGGCCUGAGAGGGCGACCGGCCACACUGGGACUGAGACACGGCCCAGACUCCUACGGGAGGGCAGCAGUGGGGAAUCUUGCGCAAUGGGCGAAAGCCUGACGCAGCGACGCCGCGUGAGGGAUGACGGCCUCGGU